rnacentral:lncRNA from 1 species
UGAGUGGUUAUUUUGGGGUGCGAUGACACCAGGUUAAAUUGCUUGAAUAUUAGUCCAUGACAAAUUGUGUGGAAAACAAAACAUUCCUCUCACAGCAGCCGCCCUACAGCAGCGGCCCUACAGCAGCCGUCCUACAGCAGCCGUCCUACAGCAGCGGCCCUACAGCAGCCGUCCUACAGCAGCCGUCCUACAGCAGCGGCCCUACAGCAGCGGCCCUACAGCAGCCGUCCUACAGCAGCGGCCCUACAGCAGCGGCCCUACAGCAGCCGUCCUACAGCAGCGGCCCUACAGCAGCCGCCCUACAGCAGCCGCCCUACAGCAGCGGCCCUACAGCAGCCGCCCUACAGCAGCGGCCCUACAGCAGGCCCACAGCAGCGGCCCUACAGCAGCGGCCCUACAGCAGCGGCCCUACAGCAGCCGUCCUACAGCAGCGGCCCUACAGCAGCGGCCCUACAGCAGCCGCCCUACAGCAGCCGUCCUACAGCAGCGGCCCUACAGCAGCGGCCCUACAGCAGCCGCCCA